GCCUGGGUGGCUUAUUCAGUUAGGCAUCUGACUUUGACUCAGGUCAUGAUCUCCUAGUAUGUGAGUUCAAGCCCCAUGCCAGGCU
rnacentral:tRNA from 1 species